rnacentral:rRNA from 1 species
UGGGGAAUAUUGCACAAUGGGCGCAAGCCUGAUGCAGCGACGCCGCGUGAGGGAUGACGGCCUUCGGGUUGUAAACCUCUUUCAGUGCCGACGAAGCGGAAGUGACGGUAGGCACAGAAGAAGGACCGGCCAACUACGUGCCAGCAGCCGCGGUAAUACGUAGGGUCCGAGCGUUGUCCGGAAUUACUGGGCGUAAAGAGCUCGUAGGUGGUUUGUCGCGUUGUCCGUGAAAACUCACAGCUUAACUGUGGGCGUGCGGGCGAUACGGGCAGACUAGAGUACUGCAGGGGAGACUGGAAUUCCUGGUGUAGCGGUGGAAUGCGCAGAUAUCAGGAGGAACACCGGUGGCGAAGGCGGGUCUCUGGGCAGUAACUGACGCUGAGGAGCGAAAGCGUGGGGAGCGAACA